GAUGUUGUCGGUUGUCAGGCGGUAUUGAGUGUUUUUGUGAAAAUAUUGCCUAAAACCAAAUGUGAAUUUGAUGAUAAACUCACUAGCUUAUGACAGUAAUAUCUGCGUUUAUCAUUUUUCUAACUAAAAUCCACACAAGAGGUGAUAAAAUGAAUUUCAACAUCAUGCUAAUAAGCAAACAUUUCAUCUAGAGAUGUAUAUAGGGUGAGUGAUUGAGAGCUGUCCUAGGACUGGGGAUUUCUGAUAAUUUUAUAGGCGUAGUGUUGUUUGAAUCCAAGUUAUGGAAAUAUUUCAUUUUGUUCACUUUUUAAAAUUCAUGUCAUUGGAAGAAAAAAGUUGAAAAAUUGAAAAAUUUUGACAAAUCUAUUUUGAAAUCUACUAUCGUCAUUGAAUUCGUGGCUGUCUAAUUAAACCCUGGUGAAAACUAAACAACAAUAUUCACUAAUGAUUUGUUUGUAGUACAUGUAUUUAGUAAAUGUAGACUUCAUGUCUCCGAAAAAUUAAACUGUUGAUAUGUAUCUUAAUAUUACUAACAAGCAUAUUUACUGUGAGGUUUAAUGAUGGUGUAGUACCAAUACGUGACCCAAUUCGACAGAAUGUGAAUGUUUGCGUCAAAAGUAGUGUUAUACAAUUGAACACAAUCUAAAACGGUCAACAGCUACAUCCGACAAAACAUGUUAAUUAUGUAAUGCGAACACUCUGAUCUCAUUCACCACAGCGACAAUCGGAGGAGACUGAUCUCAUUUAUUACAGCGACAAUCGGAGUAGACAGAAGAUGAAAUUGAUAGUACUGCUGUGCUUCUGUAUUGGGAUUUCCGUGACUUUGGCGGACGAAUCGUGUGUAACGUACUGCUGUCGUUAUAAUACGUUUGGUGUUUGUCUAAAAGAGUGUGAAUACGGCUGCAAUGACAGCGAUGAUGACCUUCCGAUGGGUUUGAGGUCAUUGCCAAGACAUUGGAAGUCAGCUUUUGGGAGACGUGUUUGAACUCUGGAAAACACAAGGAACAUCAUACAAAACAACAGAUGAACGAGUUUCUGAAAUCGACAUGAAGAAAUAGAGCGGACUUCUUACCCAAAGUUUUCAUACUAAAUCAUAACCUGUCUUCUUUUUGUAUUAUCCACAAUCUUUUUUCCUGGUUCAAAUUAAAUUAUAAAGCAUUGAGUUCGUUUAUUUUUGCAGUUAUACUGACAGGAACUGAGCCCAUCUAACAAAAUUAUCCAUUAGAUUAUUUAGAUAAGAUAAAUUUUCCUAUUGAAUUGAUUGACAUAUUGAUUAUGUGUGUUUUGCAGGUAAUAUUAGCUCUUAAAAUAAGAAACAUGUACGGAUCCAGAGAUGAUGGGUGGGGUUCAAGGGCGUUCGACACCCCUCCCCAUUACUGAUGCAUUUUGUUUUCACUGUCAUUGAAAAUUCAUGCUUUUAGCACAUAACGAUAUUUAUGUUUAUCAGCUUCUAUUACCCCAAACUCUGCUCACCGUAGUUCGUUUUUGCUGUCAUAAAAAAUCUGAACAAAAGAAUGAUUGAGAUUGAAAAUUUGUCAUUUAUUACAAUACCAAAUGACGAAAGAAAUCUUCAACAUAAGAUUUUGGGGAAAUCAGAUAAUACAUUCUACAUCAAAGUACCUGCAAAGCUAAAUUACUCAAAGUCUGAUUUCCCCCAAAGAAGACAAAAUAACUUAAAUAAUGAUUAUUUCUUAGUGGUAUUAGUAUUAAUACCAUUUAGUACUACAUGUAGCAUAUGUAAAUCUGAAAUGGAAGGUGCUUGUGAUUUAGCGUUCGUCGUCGACGAUUAGUUACAUGUACCUCCAUUGUAUUGCAUCAGUUUAAUUAAUGGUGAUAUCAUAGAUCAUUAUCAUCAUACAGGACUGAAGUAGUGCAUUUCAUCUAAACCAAAUUCAUCUGAAGAAAUGAAUCUUAAAAGAAUAUGAAAACUCAACAGUUAGGAAAUGGAAUGAAAGAAACAAAGAAUUUUGAUAAGUGUAAUUAGUAAACAAUAUCUGUAAUUUUGUUCUUUUUAAAUUAAUUUCUUGAUAAUUGUUUCUAUUUCAAAUUUCCUAAAUGAUUUCUGACCGAAAUUGGCUCAAGAUGACAAACAAUGCUUUCUUUUGAUAGAAACUUUUCCGGACCCCCCUACACCCUCGUAUUCUUUUCACGAUAGGCCAGCUACAAGUACUUAAUGCAGCUGAGGUAUACAUGUAAUAGUUAAACUCCCUCCUUUUAAAAUUCAGGAUCCACCACUGAAACAAUUUUACAUAAGUUAGGUUCGAUUUUAGGUGGUAAUGAAGCAAUGUUCAAGGAUAAUUAGGAGUUUUAUUUUGACGACGCAUUUUAAUGUGGACAAUUAGAAAUGAAUACAAAUUUAGACAGAAAACUGUCGAAACUGUCAAUCAUUUAAAAGUCAUACAAGUGCAUCAGAGGGCGAUGUAGGCACUGGAACAUGAUUUCCAUGUACAGUAAUAAUGUAAGAGGUCAACUUUGUGCCAUUGUAAUGAUGAAUGCAUGUACUAUGGAUAGAUAUACAAUUAUUGUAUACAUGAUAAUGUAAUCAACGCAACUCAUUCACUAUAAAAAGAUUAUGACUAAAUAUUGUUAAUUCAUGCAUCAUGUAUUAUAUGAUUCGUAGGUUAAUAUGUGCUCUUGGAUCAUCUGUUUAUUUGCUCAUUGUAAUUCUCAUGAGGAUUAGUAUUCUGAAAACAAGAGAAUGCCAUUGCAAUUUUUGGUUAAAAGGGCGUAUACAAAUAUGAUACACGAAUCACGUUUAUAUUCUUACUUUACAAUAAUGGUGCAUUUGAAACCAUUUUAUCGAGUCAGCACGAAACACUGGCCUGCACGGCGAGCUCUAAUGACUAAAGCGGGCGGAAAAUUCGGAACUGCUCCCAGAAAAAUUAUCUUAGUAAAAGUUUGUUAGAUUAGUAAACAAUUAGAAAAAAAAAAUCAUUAUAGUUGUAUCAUAAUUCCUGGCAAAUUCAGCAUUUGGACAGUCUGUGCAUUCGCAAAUGCUGUUCAAAGUUUCCUUUCAAUAUCCAGUUCAAUUUUAUCUAAAUAUGAAAUGAAGAAAUAGAAUAUGUCAGAAUGAUGUUACGUAUUGUGUUUUAUCGAUGUUUUACAUUUCUGAUACAAAAUAUAAACCAAGGUAAUCUUUACACUACGUUUCUUCCUUACACGCCGUCAUUUUGGAACACUUGUCACUCCUGCUAAAAUGGGCAAUAUACAUGUACAAGAGCAACACUAGUGUGGAGUAUUAGACAUUUUAUCUACAACUCUAGUUACCCGUGUAACUCGUGUCGCAUAAUCAAAUUCACAGGACAUCAUUUCACGGGGAAAUCUAACGCAGUCAAUGUAAACAGUGUAUUGUGCAAAUUCUAUGCUCGUUAUAUUGAUCUAAUUUGCCAAUACAACCUGUCAUUGGGUCAAAUGCUGUCUGAAAUGUUUCAUACCGAUUGUUAGGCCAUUCUUGAUACGCAUAUUUUGACUACAUAUUACUUCGUUUAUCUGAGACAUAAUGUUCACGGCGGGUGUGACCGGUCGACAGGGAUGCUUACUCCUCCUAGGUACCUGAUCCCACCUCUGGUGUGUCCAGUGGUCCUUGUUUGUCUAACUCUUUAUUUUGUAUUCAUUAUAGGAGAUUAAUCACUGUUCGUUAUCUUCACCUUUCAAUUUGAUCUACAUGUAAUAUCAGCUGUGAUUAUUUAUCAACAACAAAACGUGGGGAGGUAUCAUAAAGCUUGUCUACAAUUUAAAUACGUAUGUGGUUCUUUUCAAACUAUUUAUAUAUUUUAUCUACAAGGAUAUCAAUGAAUUAUAUCGCUAUGAAGGCGAUAUUUCUCCAGAAGCAGAAUGUGUAAUCCUCAUAAUUUUGCAGCUGAUGAAGAGCAAAUCGCGUGACUCCCUCAUGUAAUCAUUAAAGCAAGCUUGUCACCUCGUGUCGUGGGCUUUGCUCGCUAAUAUGUAUAUACGGACCGUUGUAAACAUUGGACCGAGCAGAACAUGAAAUGGUCAUUGGCGUGCCCAAAGUAAUAAUCAUAACUUAAAAAUAUAGGAACACUUUUGGUGUACCAGCCCACAAAUAUGGUGUUAAAAUAAGUGCCGCCGAAGGCGGUUUAGUAUUUAUAUGAGCGAUCGGUGAAAUCGUUAAAAUGGCAAAAUCGCAAAAUUUAGCUUAAAUUUGAAGUUAAGGUGUAAUAUGAAGUUUAAAAAAACUGUUUUAAACACUGUUUUUAGAAUUCAAAAUGAAAAAAGAAUGCAAUAAGACGUACAGUUUAUGUGCCAAAAUAGAUGAAAUCCAUUGUUUAGGAUAUUGUCACGUGUGCGUUAAUUUACGUAAUUCUGAAUAUUCAAUUCACUAAUGUUAAUGAAAGCAAAUUGAAACUUAUCUGGGAUUAAGGAAGAAUACUGAUUCUUUCUCGUUUACGAAAAAUAUUUAGCAAGUAGAUACUAAAAACCCACUUUAAAAUGCUUUUUAUCGACAUUUUAGCCUACGGACACUUCUGAAUGGGAACUGCCUUCAACAUCUUUGCUUUUAUUAAUAUCAUUUUCUUAAAAAUCUAUCAUAGUUAACUCACACGAUCAGCUUGAUAUGUCGGGGGCAGCCGUAAAUAACGGUGUGAUUACAGUCACGUCAGAACAUUUCGUCCAAUGACAGGUUGUUUUGGCAAACUAUAAAUAGUUAUACAUGUAACGAUUAUAUAAUUUGUGAAAUGCUGAGUUCAUGUCUAUUUUUGAAAAACAAAUAUGGACAAAAACGUAUUCUUAUCUAAACCUCUUCUUUAUUUUCUGCUUCUUUGUAACCAUAAUACUUUGAAGAACAAAUACAGAAAAAAAAUCAUUUAUUUAUAAAGAUGUGUUUUUCGCAGUAGGGGAUCGAAAAUGUUCACGGAUUUCAUCAAAUAGGUACCAUUGCCUCCUAGGCUCAAGACCAAGUUCUAGAGUCUCUUGGAGCAGUGGACCAUCUAUGGAGGGAAGGGUGUUCCGAUCUUUCAAGAAAUUCACACAUACAGGGACAAAAUUGCAAAGCCCCUUAAAUCCAACAUUGAUGCUCUAAUGUUUAUCACCGCUUUGAAAUAAUGUUAUAGGUAUGGAUUACGAUCCCUAUAAUUGACAGGUUUUAGUGAAUCUGACACAACCCGAGUAAUGUUUUGGCGUCGUCGUGAUGGAUGACAAUCUCGAUCAUUAUUUCAGUAGUAGAGAAAUGUCACUUAAUUUUUCAUACUACGAAAUGCCAGUCAAUCUUGUUAACAGUGUCCUGCUACCAUUAUGGAAUAUUUCACAAUCAUAUGGAGUUUAGAUUCAAAGACGUUAAAGUCUUAAAUUUUAAAUGAUACUAAUUUCAUUGCAUGUCAUUUUCAUAAUUUCUACAUGUGAAAUGUUUGCCCUAAAUGAAGAUCACAAACAUUAUACAUGUAGUACGAUGUACAUAGAAGACCCAAUCUCUACCCAGAGUUAACCUUUUCACAGUUAAUAAAAAUAGAACUAAGAACUGUAUUAUGAAAUAUCAGGAAAAUGUAGAGCAAGCAAUUAUUGUUGCAAAUUAUACAUAUAUUAGUUUAUAUUUCCCAUUAAAAUUCAUGUCUACCUUAAAUAUACAAACAUUUUUUGUAUUGUAUUUCAACACUAUUCAAUGCUUCUUGUGUCACAGAAAGACUUAACAUAUAGUUACAUGUAUUAUUGAUCUAUUUACGUAUAUUUUUGUAACUAAAGUCGAAACCACAUUUUAUUUGACCAUCUUUACAAUUUUACAAGAAUCUUGAAAAUCCUCUCGACACGUUGAUAGAGGAAAAUGUGAGUGUAAGGAACGAUAAAUCUGGGUAGAGAUUGGUAUCUACACUGAAUAAUGUAAUUAGUAAUCAAAUAGUUCUUUGUUUGAAUGGUCGAAAUAUAUUUUUAUUAGUUAGUGCAUAUGUGAAACCAGAACCCUUCAUAGUGUAUACCAUAAAACAAAAUCGCUGUUGUUUUGUCCACUACGAUUGUUGAAAUGUACGGAGGUUAAUUUCUCUCCACAGUCGCGGUACGAAAGAAGUGAUAAGACAUGCUACAGAUGUAAUGGCAGAAUGUGCACCCUUCCCCGUGUUCUCAGCUUAAUCAAUGUAAUAGAACUCUUGCUUUCCUACGAAAAUGAAAAAAACUAAAUUGAUUGUAUAAAUGCAACAAACAUAGUUUUUGAACAUGCAUCAUGAGGGAUGAAAUUUAGAAUGUGACAAUGUUUUGAAAAUAAAAAGAUAUAAAAAUAUAAAAUAUGUUUAAAUGUUUUCAAAUAUAAAAUGUAUUAUCUAUAUACUUGUGCGACACAUGGAAUAUCUAAAGUAUGUAACAAUCUGUCAAGCAGAACUAGAAAUAAUCCUCAAAGUUUCACUGGUCAAUUUCUACUGUCCCUUCGGACCAGUGGAUAUAAAAUCGAUUGGUUCAAAUUCAUAUUUAAUAAUAGUGAAUAACUUUCAUAAUCAAAGGCCUAAUAUCCUUUUUAUGUACACUUGCAUCAUGUUCACUUGCAUCAGCAAUAUCGAAAUCUUGCUAUUCCUAUCCAUGUUGUUCGCUUAAACAAUAGUCAGUGUCAUCUUCAUUUUUGUCAUUUGUGGAAGUGUAUUGUUAAAACCAUUAAACCAUAUCCCAAUACUUCUCACCCUGGGUUGAAAAUCCACCUGCAGUCCUUCAAAUACUAGACAAGAAAUAUUAUAUAAAUCAACUGUCCAUAGUCACUAUUAUAUGAAUAUCAUUUUAAUGUGUUAGGCCAAUGUAUGGCUAGAAAUCUAAAUUAGACCAGCCAAUAUAUAAAAAUAAACAGAGCAAUGUGUCUCAUAACUAUGAAAUUGAAUUUGAAUUUAUUGAUGCCUCAUCUUAGUAUGAAAAGUCAAGAAUGUUAACUUGAUAAUAACACUUUAUUCAUCAAAUCAAUCUAUUAAAUGAGAGCUAAUACAAGCAAAAUAGGCUUCUGAAUUUCUACAUUAAGUGGUUUGUUUGAUUUGCAUCAUAAUGAGUCAAAAAUGAUGUAAUGUACUACAAUUAUAAAGAAAGUCACACAACACUAAGGCCUUACCUUUCUCUUUCUGUUUAGCAGCGACUUGGAUUUUUACACUCCGCUUCCCAAUAGUUGCUGUCUGACACCCUGUUGCUGUUGAAGUCACUCUUUUUCCAGUCUCUGCAGCCUGAUAAGACAAACAUUAGAAACAUUGUUUCUUUUGAUACUUAAUUAUUCUUAGUGUACACAGAAGGCCUCGUACUUAACUUUUCAUAUGAACUACAAGAUAAGUAAUACUUGCAUGUAAUGAGAAUUUACUGCGUAUGAUUUUGUUUUUUAGAAGGAAACAAAUUUUAAUGAUUAUGAAUCCAAUGUACCAUAUCUUCUGUCAAUCUGCAAAUUAUAUGCAAGCAAGUGUGUGUCUGUGUGAGAAGGAGUUUUUUUUAAACAAACAAGAGGCCCACAGGCCUUAUCGAUCACCUGCGUACUAGUGAAAAGUAUCACUACAACCAAGGGCUAUGGAAUCAAAAUUUCCUUAUAUGAAUAUCUAAGCUAAAUUCUAAUGUUCAGCAACAGUAUAAAACAAGACGUGAUCUUAAUUUAGAGUUUAAUAAAUCAAUAAAAUUCUGAGUUCAAUGCACAUUCAAAGUAUUUCUGCCAGCCCAAUAUACCGUAUUUGGGGGCAACAUUGUCUGUGUGUGUAGCUUUUCAAUACCAACUACAGUAUAUACUGCACAUAAUUGCUUGUUCUGGGCCUUUACCUUUCUAUGACAAAUUGAUAGAAAAAUUGUUGAAAUAAAACUCACCAGUAAAUAAUAGUAUAGUGGGUGUACUGUUACAUCUUCAUAAAUGUUUAUCUGAGUAAUUGGUGAAAUAAAUAUACCGGUUCAUUCUAUAAAUACUAUUAAGAAUUGAACUACGGUAACCACAUAUACUGUAUAAAAGGGUGAAAAUUAGCUUCAUUUCUAGAUAUGAAUUGUGGGUCUAUUGUUUUGUUCAUUGACAAAUAACAUAAAAUUAUACCCAAAAGAAGUACUUCUAUCGAAUGUAAAAUAAACUUGAGAUUGUCAGUAUUCAAUCUCCUAUGUUUGCCAUCAUGUGUAGCUUUUCUGGCCUCUAUUACACUUGGUAGAAUGUGGUUUGUGUUUGUAUGCUAUUUUUCAAACUUGCAAAUUGCUUACAGUCAAUAUAAAAGAUCUCUAUCGUUAGGGUUUUAAAGAUUAUAAAAGAAAAUUAUAUAAAUUCUUUGCAACACAUUUCUUUUCUUUUGUAUCUUUUGAGGUAUGUGGCCGAAAGACUGGCAAACCCGAUACUUUGUAUACGAUAUAAAUAGGUACCAACCUAAAUGCACUGUAAGUGUCAUAUACGAACUACAUUCUAUUCUUUAGGAAACUGAAAUUUUGUUAUCUAUACAUGUACGCAUAGUUUCCUUCAUUAGUUGGACUGGUUCACAUAAAAUAAGAAGUGCUUCGAUGCAGGUCAAGAUGGGUGCAUAUUGUUUCCUUUCCUGUCUUAAAUACACUCACUGUUGUAAUGAUGCGAUAUGUUAGGGUAUACUUUGAACUGUCGACUUUGCUCUCUCUUUUCUUUGAAAUGCAUGUUUGUUUUUCUCAGUAAAACUUAAUUACACAUACAGUAUCAUAGAGAAGGGAACAUGUAACUAGAUCAAGCUCAAGAUAUAUGUGUCAAUCAUUCUACGUAAAAGUAUAAAUUCGAGGUGUCGAACACGACCAUUGAGAAAGAUAUUCAUUGACGACAAAGAUGAAGCUGGUAUAUGUCUUCUGCUUACUUAUUGCUGUACUGAUUGACCAGGGAGAAAGUGAAUGCAGAUCGUAUUGUUGUGAAUACGACCCCACCCGCACUUUCUGUACAAGAAUUUGCUGCGGAUCUCAUGCAGGUAGAAGAAGACGAUCCUCGUCCACAUUCAAAUUCAAAGAACCAAGCGCCGUUGAUGAGCGAUUUAAGCAGAGAUUUAAACAUCAAUAAAAUGAUGGAUGGCAGUCUUUGUAAUCAACGCGAUGAAACAAGAAUUUCCUUUUUAUUCCUCAGAAGUGACUGAUUUUCCCUAUUACAUUGUGCACUUUGUAUUCGUCCCUGCUUGUAUAAAAAGUUAAAAGCA